AUGCCACGUGCUGAUGGUCCCUUUAAGGUGUUAGAGAAAAUAAAUGAUAAUGCAUAUAAACUUGAGCUGCCUGCAGAUUUUGGGGUUAGUCCCACUUUUAACAUUGCAGAUUUGAAGCCUUAUUUGGGUGAGGAAGAUGAACUUCCGUCGAGGACGACUUCAUUUCAAGAAGGGGAGGAUGAUGAGGACAUCAAUACAAUUGUUACACCCACAGCCCCUGCUGCUAUACAUACUGGACCAAUUACUAGAGCUCGUGCACGCCAACUAAAUUACCAGGUACUUUCGUUUCUUGGUAAUGAUUCUAAUGUUCAUGAGAAUAUGAUGCUGCCUAAAUUGGAUACAUUUGUUUUGGUUACAAAUGAAGGGCCUAGCUUGGACAAGAAGGAUGAACAUUGGAGC
rnacentral:rRNA from 1 species